UACAGAGGGUGCGAGCGUUGUCCGGAAUCACUGGGCGUAAAGGCGCGUAGGCGGCCUGAUAAGUAGGGGUGAAAUCCUGUGGCUCAACUGCAGGGCUGCCUCCUAGACUGUCGGGCUUGAGCACGGUAGAGGCAGAUGGAAUUCCCGGUGUAGCGGUGGAAUGCGUAGAGAUCGGGAAGAACACCUGUGGCGAAGGCGGCCCCUGGUCGG
rnacentral:rRNA from 1 species